rnacentral:rRNA from 1 species
AGUGAACGCUGGCGGUAGGCCUAACACAUGCAAGUCGAACGGCAGCACAGUAAGAGCUUGCUCUUACGGGUGGUGAGUGGCGGACGGGUGAGGAAUACAUCGGAAUCUACUUUUUCGUGGGGGAUAACGUAGGGAAACUUACGCUAAUACCGCAUACGACCUAUGGGUGAAAGCAGGGGAUCUUCGGACCUUGCGCGAUUGAAUGAGCCGAUGUCGGAUUAGCUAGUUGGCGGGGUAAAGGCCCACCAAGGCGACGAUCCGUAGCUGGUCUGAGAGGAUGAUCAGCCACACUGGAACUGAGACACGGUCCAGACUCCUACGGGAGGCAGCAGUGGGGAAUAUUGGACAAUGGGCGCAAGCCUGAUCCAGCCAUACCGCGUGGGUGAAGAAGGCCUUCGGGUUGUAAAGCCCUUUUGUUGGGAAAGAAAAGCAGCAGGUUAAUACCCCGCUGUUCUGACGGUACCCAAAGAAUAAGCACCGGCUAACUUCGUG